ensembl:snoRNA
AUCCUUUUGUAGUUCCUAAGUGUGAAGAAUGGGUGUUCAUGCAGAAGGGUGAGAUGUGCUACCCUCAAACCUUGUUCUGUGCACAUUACCCGUCUGACA